UACGUAGGGGGCAAGCGUUAUCCGGAAUCACUGGGCGUAAAGGGUGCGUAGGCGGCUGAAUAAGUCAGGGGUGAAAGGCAUUGGCUCAACCAAUGUAAGCCUUUGAAACUGUUCAGCUUGAGUGCAGGAGAGGUAAGUGGAAUUCCUAGUGUAGCGGUGAAAUGCGUAGAUAUUAGGAGGAACACCAGUGGCGAAAGGCGACUUACUGGACUGUAACUGACGCUGAGGCACGAAAGCGUGGGGAGCAAACAGGAUU
rnacentral:rRNA from 1 species